GAUGAACGCUGGCGGCGUGCCUAAUACAUGCAAGUCGAGCGAACAGACGAGGAGCUUGCUCCUCUGACGUUAGCGGCAGACGGGUGAGUAACACGUGGAUAACCUACCUAUAAGACUGGGAUAACUUCGGGAAACCGGAGCUAAUACCGGAUAAUAUAUUGAACCGCAUGGUUCAAUAGUGAAAGACGGUUUUGCUGUCACUUAUAGAUGGAUCCGCGCCGCAUUAGCUAGUUGGUAAGGUAACGGCUUACCAAGGCAACGAUGCGUAGCCGACCUGAGAGGGGGAUCGGCCACACUGGAACUGAGACACGGUCCAGACUCCUACGGGAGGCAGCAGUAGGGAAUCUUCCGCAAUGGGCGAAAGCCUGACGGAGCAACGCCGCGUGAGUGAUGAAGGUCUUCGGAUCGUAAAACUCUGUUAUUAGGGAAGAACAAAUGUGUAAGUAACUAUGCACGUCUUGACGGUACCUAAGCAGAAAGCCACGGCUAACUACGU
rnacentral:rRNA from 1 species